CUUGGUCAUUUAGAGGAAGUAAAAGUCGUAACAAGGUUUCCGUAGGUGAACCUGCGGAAGGAUCAUUAAGAAUUGAUAAUAUUUGUGAAAUUUAUACAGCAAACAAUAAUUUUAUAAUCAACACCAAAAAAAUUAAAACUUUUAACAAUGGAUCUCUUGGUUCUCGUAUCGAUGAAGAACGCAGCGAAACGCGAUAUUUCUUGUGAAUUGCAGAAGUGAAUCAUCAGUUUUUGAACGCACAUUGCACUUUGGGGUAUCCCCCAAAGUAUACUUGUUUGAGCGUUGUUUCUCUCUUGGAAUUGCAUUGCUUUUCUAAAAUUUCGAAUCAAAUUCGUUUGAAAAACAACACUAUUCAACCUCAGAUCAAGUAGGAUUACCCGCUGAACUUAAGCAUAUCAAUAAGCGGAGGAAAAGAAACCAACAGGGAUUGCCUUAGUAACGGCGAGUGAAGCGGCAAAAGCUCAAAUUUGAAAUCGGCCCCCAGGUCGAGUUGUAAUUUGUAGAUUGUAUCUUGAGAGCGGAUUAAAGUCUGUUGGAACACAGCGCCUUAGAGGGUGACAGCCCCGUAAAAUCUAUUCUCAUUGUAAGAUACUUUCGAAGAGUCGAGUUGUUUGGGAAU
rnacentral:sRNA from 1 species